CCUGUCCGAGACAAAGCUACCUUUCUUUCCUCGUGGGAAUGGACCGGCCGGGCUUUGGCAAUCUGUCCCCUCGAAAGACAAAGUGACCUCUUGCAGCAGGGGAAGACUGAAGCAAGGGGUGCCAGGAAGAACUGGAGUCUCUGGAGAAUAAAAGCUGGAAGCGUGCCCCCGAAAGUCCCCAGCCCCGGGUGGUCAGUGGUCUGACUUGCACGGACCGGUGGCCUUGGCCAGGAGCGGUCCUGCCGGCCUGUACUUUUAAUUUCCUGCCCAGGCUGUAAUUUUAAUUUCCACUGGGUGCUGGCAAAGCCCCCCUGGGGGUGAGCCCCAGUGCCUGGCAGGAGCGGAGCGGGCUUGUGGGGAUGUAUUCACCCGGUCAGCGUCAGGAACCAUCCUAACUGAGGCCUCGGCUGCCUCUUUCCCUUCGGUCGCCGUGUGUGUGCCGGACACCUCUGGCAGGACUAACCCUGUGGCUUUUAUGUCCAACGUGCUGUAUGCCUGCAGCAUCCUGUCCGAGACAAAGCUACCUUUCUUUCCUCGUGGGAAUGGACCGGCCGGGCUUUGGCAAUCUGUCCCCUCGAAAGACAAAGUGACCUCUUGCAGCAGGGGAAGACUGAAGCAAGGGGUGCCAGGAAGAACUGGAGUCUCUGGAGAAUAAAAGCUGGAAGCGUGCCCCCGAAAGUCCCCAGCCCCGGGUGGUCAGUGGUCUGACUUGCACGGACCGGUGGCCUUGGCCAGGAGCGGUCCUGCCGGCCUGUACUUUUAAUUUCCUGCCCAGGCUGUAAUUUUAAUUUCCACUGGGUGCUGGCAAAGCCCCCCUGGGGGUGAGCCCCAGUGCCUGGCAGGAGCGGAGCGGGCUUGCGGGGCCCUCCUGACAGGCGUUGUGUCUAAGGGAAGGGUAGGGGGGCCUUUGUCUGUCCCAGAGGAGCUUCAGUGUUCUUUGUUGCUCUCUGGAGGACUAAGAACUAAAAAAAAUAAAAGCAAACGAGAAAGAAAAGAAAAGAAAAUGAAAUGAAAAAUAAAUAGAAUAAAAAAUUAAGGCAAUAAAGAAGGAAAAUGAAAGAAAAAAAAUCAAAGCGAGCAAAGUAAAAAGGCCCUAAUAAAAUGCCAAGUGAAAUGAAAGGGAAAACCAGGGCUUCUUGGGCACCCCGGGGUUUACUCCCCGCCCCGCCCCGCCCCGCCCCGUGACUUGGGGGUCCCCCCUAAAGUGUGAGAAGGGGAGCCCAAAAGGUGGUCGGGGGAAGGGCGGGGAGCCGAAAAGGCAGCGGAGGGGGUGCCGCGAAAUGUGAGGGAGGGGCCGGGGCAAAGCGGGCGAGGCGCGCGCAGCGAGAGCGAGCGAAGGCGGGCGGUGUGGGGGGGG